rnacentral:misc_RNA from 1 species
AACCAAAAGACAUUGUACAUUCCCCACCAACAAGACAACCGCAUUUCACAACCUAAGACUCCACCUACAUAUAACCCCCGAUCAAGUAUAUAAAUAAAAGGCUGCACAUAAAUCCUCCAUCAUUCGAAGGCCCACUGAUUCUCCCGACGAACCUCGUCUUCCUCAUCUGGAGUGAAAUCAUUAGUGAUGUUGAAGAUAGUGCGGAUCUCCUCAGGUGUCUUUCCCUUGAUCAUGUCGGCCACAGUUUGGCAAGUAAGAUCCAGCAACCCUUUGAUGUUCAGA